GUGGGGAAUAUUGGGCAAUGGGGGCAACCCUGACCCAGCGACGCCGCGUUGGUGAAGAAAUCCCUCGGGAUGUAAAGCCCUGUUGUAUGGGAAGAGCAGAAGACGGUACCAUACGAGGAAGCCCCGGCAAACUACGUGCCAGCAGCCGCGGUAAUACGUAGGGGGCAAGCGUUGUCCGGAAUUACUGGGCGUAAAGCGCACGCAGGCUGAAUUAUAAGUCGGUAGUCAAAUACGGAGGCUCAACUUCCGGAUAUCUAUCGAUACUGUAAAUCUAGAGUAUGUGAGAGGGAAGCGGAAUUCCCGGUGUAGCGGUGAAAUGCGUGGAUAUCGGGAGGAACACCAGUGGCGAAGGCGGCUUCCUGGCACAAUACUGACGCUCAUGUGCGAAAGCUAGGGCAGCGAACGGGAUUAGAUACCCCUGUAGUCC
rnacentral:rRNA from 1 species